UCCGUCGACGUUUAAAAUCGUGAGGGUUCAAGUCCCUCUAUCCCCA
rnacentral:tRNA from 1 species